rnacentral:lncRNA from 1 species
CUUAUUUAAAACUUCCCUCAAUCCCCCAGCCACCAAGAGUUAAGUUCCAUUUCACGUGUGGGAUGAGUAUUUGUUGGCUCGAGGGAGUGCACUGAGCUGCCUGGACUCACAGGGCAAAAAAACGCCCUUGUUUUCAGUCUUGAUUAAACUUCACUGUGGGGGAAGAGAAGGCACAUACCUUUGAGGAAGCUGACGUUCCAGAGGCCAAGACUCUGAAUGUUGUUUGUCUUCAUCACUUCAGAUAAGAUCUGAAAUAGGUAUUUCCUACUGUAAUGUGCGUGACCUUUUCCUAAUGGUCUUGGAACUUUAUUGUUUCGUUUUAUAACUCUGUCAUAAAGAUAUAACUGCAAUCCUUAAGGAGGAGAGGACGUUGUGGAUCAUUGCCUCUGUCAUUUGUCUUCCUUGUCAACAUUGUUAUAACCCUUUUAUCAGAGAGAAAAUUAGCAGCCCGUGUGGUGUAAAAUAUUGUUUUGCAACUGCCUGUGACUCAGUUCUACUCCUGAUAAUUGAUGGAGAGAUCUGUCUGGGAAAGUGUGGUGCUUUAGGAUGGCUCCUCAUCCUCCUGGCAGCCAGGACUGCCUUUCAACAUCAACUGAAGGACCCACAGUAAGGCCUGAUCAUUCUCAGAUGAUAACUUCAAAUGGGGACCCAAGGCUUGAGGUGCAAACUGCAGAGCUGGGAAAACGCACACUCAGUGUAUGUCCUGCCUGACUUCUCUGUGGCACAUGGUUUGGAAGUAGAGCUCAUGGAGGAGAUGAUGAAUGUCAUUGCACAUAAUUAGUAGAAACAGGCUGGCUCAUCCUCUUGGCUCUGGCUGAGACUGCAAUAGAGGUAUCCUUCCUGAAAUCUUUGAGACAAACCCAGACUGAACAGAUACUAAAGAGCUCCCAGGGAAUCAGGAGAGAAUGUGGCCCUUCCUGAGCACCAGGAUCUCACAUUUCCACUACAACAGCACAGUGCUGCUCUCCUGCCCAGCAAUUUCUUUGCCUGAGGAUUUCCAAGUAUGAGAUUGAUAGAUGGUGUGUAUCUGCUAUGGCAAAGGUUUCCCUUUUCUGCAUAGCUGAGAGAAGGCUCUGUCAAGUUAACAGGAGAAGGAUGGAGAUAAGUUGCACCAGGUAUGUAUCUAAAUAAAGCAGAACUGUUACAGAGAAGGCA